rnacentral:rRNA from 1 species
ACGAACGCUGGCGGCGUGCCUAAUACAUGCAAGUCGAACGCUCUUUUCUUAUCGAACUUCGGUUCACCAAGAAAAGGGAGUGGCGAACGGGUGAGUAACACGUGGGUAACCUGCCCAUAAGAGGGGGAUAACAUCCGGAAACGGUGCUAAUACCGCAUAGUUUCUGAUCGCAUGAUUGAGAAGGAAGACGGCCUUUGNGCUGUCGCUUAUGGGAUGGACCCGNGGCGUAUUAGUUAGUGGUGAGGUAACGGCUCACCAA